rnacentral:rRNA from 1 species
CCUACGGGUGACUGCAGUAGGGAAUAUUGCUCAAUGGGGGAAACCCUGAAGCAGCAACGCCGCGUGGAGGAUGAAGGUUUUAGGAUUGUAAACUCCUUUUGUUAGAGAAGAUUAUGACGGUAUCUAACGAAUAAGCAUCGGCUAACUCCGUGCCAGCAGCCGCGGUAAUACGGAGGGUGCAAGCGUUACUCGGAAUCACUGGGCGUAAAGAGUGCGUAGGCGGGGUAAUAAGUCAGAUGUGAAAUCCUGUGGCUUAACUACAGAACUGCAUUUGAAACUGUUACUCUGGAGUGUGGGAGAGGUAGGUGGAAUUCUUGGUGUAGGGGUAAAAUCCGUAGAGAUCAAGAAGAAUACUCAUUGCGAAGGCGACCUGCUGGAACAUUACUGACGCUGAUGCACGAAAGCGUGGGGAGCAAACAGGAUUAGAUACCCCUGUAGUC